rnacentral:antisense_RNA from 2 species
GUCUUUGGCGGGCGGUGCGUGGAGGGCCUCGUGCCCGCCGGCGUUCCAGCGUCUAUCACCGGUAUUGGAGCCACGCAUCGCCUGCCACCCUC